GACGAACGCUGGCGGCGUGGAUUAGGCAUGCAAGUCGAACGGUAUCAUCCUUUCGGGGGUGAGAGAGUGGCGAACUGGUGAGUAACACGUAGGUUAUCUACCCUCAAGACGGGGACAACCCAGGGAAACUUGGGCUAAUACCGGAUGUGAGCAACUUUUAGUUGUUUGAAAGGUGGCGUAAGCUGUCGCUUGGGGAUGAGCCUGCGUCCUAUUAGUUAGUUGGUGAGGUAACGGCUCACCUAGGCAAUGAUAGGUAGGCGGCCUUAACGGGUGGUCGCCCACACUGGGAUUGAGAUACGGCCCAGACUCCUACGGGAGGCAGCAGUCGAGAAUAGUCUACAAUGGUCGGAAGACUGAUAGUGCGACGCCGCGUGAACGAUGAAUCCCUUCGGGGUGUAAAGUUCUUUUAUAUGUGAGCAGUGCUUCUUAUAUUAACAGUAUGGGGAGAGAGAUAUUAGCAUAUGAAUAAGCAACGGCUAACUCCGUGCCAGCAGCCGCGGUAAUCUUCG
rnacentral:rRNA from 1 species